rnacentral:rRNA from 1 species
GGGGGGUAGCAAUACCUCACCGGCGAACGGGUGCGUAACACGUGAGCAACCUACCGAUUUCUGGGGGAUAGCCGGCCCAACGGCCGGGUAAUACCGCAUACGUUCACCGAGAGGAGUCUCUUGGUGAAGAAACCUCCGGGGGAGCGCGAGGGGCUCGCGGCCUAUCAGCUAGUUGGUGCGGUCACGGCGCACCAAGGCGAUGACGGGUAGCUGGUCUGAGAGGAUGGCCAGCCACAUUGGGACUGAGAGACGGCCCAGACUCCUACGGGAGGCAGCAGUGGGGAAUCUUGCGCAAUGGCCGAAAGGCUGACGCAGCGACGCCGCGUGCGGGAGGAAGCUCUUCGGGGUGUAAACCGCUGUUGCCCGGAACGAACCUCAGCUUUCGAGCUGACUGACGGUACCGGGUGAGGAAGCGCCGGCUAACUCUGUGCCAGCAGCCGCGGUAAUACAGAGGGCGCGAGCGUUGUCCGGAAUCACUGGGCGUAAAGGGCGCGUAGGUGGCCACCAUAAGGCCGCGGUGAAAGUCUGGGGCUCAACCCCGGAUCGGCCGCGGCGACUGUGGGGCUUGGGCACGGUAGAGGCAGAUGGAAUUCCGGGUGUAGCGGUGGAAUGCGUAGAGAUCCGGAAGAACACCAGUGGCGAAGGCGGUCUGCUGGGCCGUGGACUCGCGAGAGUCUCUUAGCCGACACUGAGGCGCGACAGCGUGGGGAGCAAACAGGAUUAGAUACCCUGGUAGUCCACGCCGUAAACGAUGGGCACUAGGUGCUCUGGGGAGCGACCCCCGGGGUACCGGCGCUAACGCAUGAAGUGCCCCGCCUGG